rnacentral:rRNA from 1 species
AGAGUUUGAUUCUGGCUCAGGAUUAACGCUGGCGGUAUGCAUAACACAUGCAAGUCUUUCUCCCGAUUUAUCGGGAGAAGGCGGACGGCUGAGUAACACGUUGGAACCUACCCUUAGCUCAGGGAUAACUUCGAGAAAUCGGAGAUAAUACCGGAUAGUUCCCCUUCGGGGGUAAAGCUUCGGCGGCUAAGGAGGGGCCUACGGCCUAUCAGCUUGUUGGUGAGAUAAUAGCUCACCAAGGCUAUGACGGGUAGCUGGUCUGAGAGGAUGACCAGUCAGACUGGGACUGAGACACGGCCCAGACUCCUACGGGAGGCAGCAGUGAGGAAUUUUCCGCAAUGGGGGCAACCCUGACGGAGCAAUACCGCGUGUAGGAUGACACCUCUAGGGGCGUAAACUACUUUUCUCAGGGAAUAAGUUCUGAAGGUACCUGAGGAAUAAGUCACGGCUAAUCACGUGCCAGCAGCCGCGGUAAUACGUGAGUGGCAAGCGUUAUCCGGAAUCAUUGGGCGUAAAGCGUCACCAGGGGGAUUGUUAAGUUGGAUGUAAAAGGCCUCGGCUCAACCGAGGUAGGGCAUCCAAAACUGGCUUUCUAGAAGGUAGUAGAGGUAGAUGGAAUUUCAGGAGUAGGGGUAAUAUCCGUAGAUCCCUGAAGGAACACCAAUAGCGAAGGCAAUCUACUGGACUAUCCUUGACCCUCACUGACGAAAGCGUGGGUAGCGAACGGGAUUAGAUACCCCGGUAGUCCACGCCGUAAACGAUGGAUACUAGGCGUAGGCAGCAUCGACCCUGUCUGUGCCGUAAGCUAACGCGUUAAGUAUCCCGCCUGAGGAGUACGGCCGCAAGGCUAAAACUCAAAGAAAUUGACGGGGAUCCACACAAGCGGUGGAGCAUGUGGUUUAAUUCGACGAUAAGCGGAGAACCUUACCAAGGCUUGACAUCCCGAGAAUUCUUGAGAAAUCAGGAAGUGCCUUUUGGAACUCGGUGACAGGCGUUGCAUGGUUGUCGUCAGCUCGUGCUGUGAAGUGUACGGUUAAGUCCGAUAACGAGCGCAACCCUCAUCAUUAGUUGUAUUUCUCUAAUGAGACUGCCCAGUGAAACUGGGAGGAAGGUGGGGACGACGUCAAAUCAGCAUGACCCUUAUGCCUUGGGCUACACACGUGCUACAAUGGCCGGUACAAUGGGUAGCGGACUCGUAAGAGUGAGCCAAUCCCCAAAACCGGUCUAAGUUCGGAUUGAGGGCUGCAAUUCGCCCUCAUGAAGUUGGAAUCGCUAGUAACCGCCAAUCAGCCAUGUGGCGGUGAAUAUGUUCCUGGAUCUUGUACACACCGCCCGUCACAUCAUGGGAGAUGGAGACACCAGAAGAUGCUUUAGCCAAUCUUUUUAAGUAGGCGAGCAGCCAAGGUGAAGCCAUUGACUGGGAUGAAGUCGUAACAAGGUA